rnacentral:rRNA from 1 species
CUGCUAGUCCAAUUCCAUUUUUUGAAUGCAGAGUUUCAAACAUGUCAUGAAUAACUUUUUUAAUAUAUUUGUUAAUUUGAAUUACAGGUUUAGCAACUUUACGUAAUCUAACAUCUGGAUAUUGUAAUAUUUUUAGUAUAGUCAUUUUGUUUUUUUUUAAAAAAUAACAUUAUUAUUGACAAUUAAAUAAAUUAUAUAAUUUUUCAUAAAAUGUUUUGGUGUUAGUUAUUAAUAAUGUAUUAAAAAUAAUAAUUUUUUGAAUAAUAUGCAAUAUUAAAAUAUAUUUUGUGUUAUGAGUAAUCUAAAAUUUUUUUAUAAGAAUUUUAUAUUUUUUAGUUAUUUUAUUUGUUUAUAAUGUUAACUUUAAACUAAUAUUUUAUUAGUUUGAUUUUAUAAAGUUAUAGUUAAUUUUUUUUUAGUGUUAAGUAUAAAUUUACUACAAUAUGAUUGUUCUUUAAUAAUUAUAAGUUUAACAUAUUUAUGUUAUAUAAAUAAUAAAAUUUGUGUUUAAUUUAUAUUAUUUGUUAUGAAUGUUUAUAAAAACUUAUGUUUUUUAGUACUAUUUGGAGUAUACAUAAAUAAGUAAUUAUUUUUAGUUUAUUUUUUUAACAGUACAUUAUAGAUAUAAAUAAUUAUUUAUAUAUAUUGUUAUCUAUUCAAAAAAUAUUAAGUAUGAGUUUACAUUAUUAUUAUAUAAUAUCUAUAUUUCAAUAUUUAUUAUUAAUAAUAAUUGAUAAUAAAUAUAUAAUUAUAUUAUAGGUAUAUUUUUUAUUAUUAGUUAAUAAUAAUUAGUUAUCAAUAACUUGUCGCGUUAUGAAGAUUAAAUAUCUAUAUAUUAAGUAUUAUUCAUUAUUUAGAAUAAGUAAAUUGUUAAUUAAUUGGUUUGUAUAAAUUAUUUAUAAAUAUUUUUAAUCAUUUUUAUGAUAUAUAUAGUAAUAUAACAUAUGAAAUUUAUUUAAAUAUUUUAUUGUUAUUUGUAGGUAAUAUUUAUUACUUUAAUGAAGUAAUAUUUUUUAUGUAAUAGUUUUUUAGUACGAUUAUUAUUAAUAAUAUAGAAUUAGUAUAAAAUAUUUUUGUUAAUAUGUUUUAUCUUUUAAUAAAAGUUAUAGUUUCGUUGUUUUUUAAAAAUAAAAUCUUAAUUUUUAAGAUGUUUUUAUAAAAAAAUAUUAUUUUAGGAUGACAUAAUAAUGAACCAGUAUGCUGUUUUUGGUAAUCCUAUUAAACAUUCUUUGUCACCUACUAUUCAUAACUUAUUUUCAAAGGAAAUGAAAAUAUAUCAAGAGUAUAUUGCUAUAUAUACUCCUAUUCAAUCUUUAGAAGAUUAUUUAUCAGUUUUUUUUAAAAAUCUUGGUAAAGGAGCUAAUAUUACAUUACCUUUUAAACAUAGAGCAUAUGUAUAUUCAGAUAUAUUAACAAGUCAAGCUCGACUUUCUGGAUCUGUUAAUACUUUGAAAAAAAUGGAUAACAAUUUGAUUUUAGGUCAUAAUACUGAUGGUUUAGGUUUGUUGUAUGAUCUUAAAAGAUUAAAAUUUAUUAACCAUGCUAGUAAUAUUCUAUUAAUUGGUGCAGGAGGAGCAGCUUAUGCUGUGAUUCCUGAAUUGCUUUCAUUUGGAUGUAGCAUUUUUGUGUUUAAUCGUACGUUAAUUAAUGCUGAAAAAAUGGUAUUAAAAUUUAAAAAUUUAGGGAAUAUUUGUUGUAUAGAUUGGUUAGAUAAUAAUAUUCAAGUAUUUGAUUUAAUAAUUAACGCUACUUCUAGUAGUAUGUAUAAUAUGAAACCAAAUAUACCAGUUACAUGUAUUAGUGCACAAACGUUUUGUUACGAUAUGUAUUAUUUAAUAGAUAAUAUGACUUACUUUUUAUUGUGGUGUAAGAAACAUGGAGCUACACGUAUAUCGGAUGGUUUAGGAAUGUUGGUGAGUCAAGCAGCGUAUGCAUUUAAAUUAUGGCAUAAUAAAUUUCCAGAAAUUAAUCAAAUUAUAUAUAAAUUGAAAAAUGAAUAAUUUAAAUAUAAUUUUUUAGUAUAUGUUAAAUAUUUUAAAGUAAAGAAUUGAAAUAUUAAAAAAUUUUUUGAUAAAUUUUAUUAGUGUCUAUGUUAUUUUUAUUAUAAAUAUAUAUAAAUUACUUUAUUGCAAUAAAAACUUGACUAAUAUACAUUAUUCUGUUAAUACUAUUAGCAGUUAGAAUUUAUUAUAAAAAGUUAAUUUUAACAUACUAAGUUAAUUAGUCCCCUUCGUCUAGAGGUCUAGGACAUCGCCCUUUCACGGCGGCAACAGGGGUUCAAAUCCCCUAGGGGACAAUAAAAUUAAUUAAUCGAUUAUUUUUAAUUUAAAAAUUUUUUUAAAUUAAAAAUAAUGCUCUUUAAAAAGUCGGAAUAAACAAAUUUAUAUAAUAUUUUUAAAAUAUUAUAGUUAAAACAUCUGUGGGUUGUAAGAUUAAGCAAAAAAGCGUAUAUGACGGAUGCCUUGGCAAUCAGAGGCGAUGAAGGACGUGCUAAUCUGCGAAAAGCGUCGGUUAGUUGAUAUGAUGCGUUAUAUCCGGCGAUAUCCGAAUGGGGAAACCCGAUACAUAAUUUAUUGUAUCAUUUUUAACUGAAUAAAAUAAGUUAAAAAAGCAAACCAAGAGAACUGAAACAUCUAAGUACCUUGAGGAAAAGAAAUCAAUUGAGAUUCCCUAAGUAGUGGCGAGCGAAAGGGGAAAAGCCCAGAGUUGAUCAAGUUUCAUAAAAAAUUUAGUAGAAUAAUUUGGAAAAAUUAGUGAUACAAGGUGAUAACCCUGUAUAUUAAAAGUUUUUUUGUUACUAACUCAAAAAGUAGAACGGGACACGAGAAAUCUUGUUUGAAGAUAGGGGGACCAUCCUCUAAGGCUAAAUACUCCUGAUUGACCGAUAGUGAACUAGUACCGUAAGGGAAAGGCGAAAAGAACCCCGGUUAGGGGAGUGAAAUAGAUCCUGAAAUCAUAUACGUACAAGCAGUAGGAGCUUUUUUUAUUUUACGUUAAAAGUGACUGCGUACCUUUUGUAUAAUGGGUCAGCGACUUGUAUUUUGUAGCAAGGUUAACCAUAAUAGGGGAGCCGUAGGGAAACCGAGUCCUAAAUAGGCGAUUUUUUUUAGUUGCAGGAUACAGACCCGAAACCCGGUGAUCUAGCCAUGGACAGGUUGAAGGUUGGGUAAAACCAACUGGAGGACCGAACCGACUAAUGUUGAAAAAUUAGCGGAUGAUCUGUGGUUAGGGGUGAAAGGCCAAUCAAACCGGGAGAUAGCUGGUUCUCCCCGAAAGCUAUUUAGGUAGCGCCUCGUGAAUUGAUUUUUGGGGGUAGAGCACUGUUUCGGAUAGGGGAUCGUAUAGGUCUACCAAACCGAUGCAAACUCCGAAUACCAAAAAAUUGUAUCACGGGAGACACACAGCGGGUGCUAACGUUCGUUGUGGAAAGGGAAACAACCCAGACCGCCAGCUAAGGUCCCAAAGUUAUAAUUAAGUGGGAAACGAUGUGAGAAGGCUCAAACAGCCAGGAUGUUGGCUUAGAAGCAGCCAUCAUUUAAAGAAAGCGUAAUAGCUCACUGGUCAAGUCGGCUUGCGCGGAAGAUUUAACGGGGCUAAAUUAUACACCGAAGCUGCGGCAAUUUUAAGUUUAUUAAAAUUGGGUAGGGGAGCGUUCUGUAAGCCGAUGAAGAUUUAUUGUAAGAUAAGUUGGAGGUAUCAGAAGUGCGAAUGCUGACAUGAGUAACGAUAAAGCAGGUGAAAAACCUGCUCGCCGAAAAACUAAGGUUUCCUGUCCAACGUUAAUCGGGGCAGGGUAAGCCGACACCUAAGGUGAGGCUGAAAAGCGUAAUCGAUGGACAACAGGUUAAUAUUCCUGUGCUUAAUAUUACUGCGAAGGGGGGACGGAGAAGGUUAGAUCAUCCAAGCGUAGGUAGUCUUGGUUUAAGCGUGUAGGAGUAGAUAGUUAGGCAAAUCCGAUUAUCUGUUAAUCUAAGGCGUUAUGACGAAUUACUACGGUAAUGAAGUGAUUAAUACCAUACUUCCAAGAAAAGCCUCUAAGCUAUAGGUAAUGUUAAAUCGUACCGAAAACCAACACAGGUAGUUAAGUAGAGUAUACUAAGGCGCUUAAGAGAACUCGGGUGAAGGAACUAGGCAAAAUAGUGCCGUAACUUCGGGAGAAGGCACGCUAGAAUGUAGGUGAUAAAAACAAGCUUUUUUGAGCUGAAUCUAGUCGAAGAUACCAGCUGGCUGCAACUGUUUAUUAAAAACACAGCACUGUGCAAACAUGAAAGUGGAAGUAUACGGUGUGACGCCUGCCCGGUGCCGGAAGGUUAAUCGAAAGGGUUAAGAAGUUAUUAUUAUUCUAAAGCUCUGGACUGAAGCCCCGGUAAACGGCGGCCGUAACUAUAACGGUCCUAAGGUAGCGAAAUUCCUUGUCGGGUAAGUUCCGACCUGCACGAAUGGCGUAAUGAUGGCCAGGCUGUCUCCACCCGAGACUUAGUGAAAUUGAAAUCGCUGUGAAGAUGCAGUGUACCCGCGGCAAGACGGAAAGACCCCGUGAACCUUUACUAUAGCUUGACACUGAACACUGAUUUUUAAUGUGUAGAAUAGGUGGGAGGCAAAGAAGUUUAGACGCAAGUUUAAAUAGAGCCAACUGUGAAAUACCACCCUUUAAAAGUUAUUGUUCUAACCUAAUGCCGUUAUCCGGUAUAGAGACAAUGUCUGGUGGGUAGUUUGACUGGGGCGGUCUCCUCCCAAAGAGUAACGGAGGAGCACAAAGAUUGGCUAAUUACGGUCAGACAUCGUAAGGUUAGUGUAAAGGCAUAAGCCAGUUUAACUGUGAGCGUGAUAAUGCAAACAGAUGCGAAAGCAGGUCUUAGUGAUCCGGUGGUUUCCGUAUGGAAGGGCCAUCGCUCAACAAAUAAAAGGUACUCCGGGGAUAACAGGCUGAUACCGCCCAAGAGUUCAUAUCGACGGCGGUGUUUGGCACCUCGAUGUCGGCUCAUCACAUCCUGGGGCUGAAGCAGGUCCCAAGGGUAUGGCUGUUCGCCAUUUAAAGUGGUACGCGAGCUGGGUUUAGAACGUCGUGAGACAGUUCGGUCCCUAUCUGCCGUGGGCGUUGGAAGAUUGAGGGGAUCUGCUUCUAGUACGAGAGGACCGAAGUGGACGUAUCACUGGUGUUCGGGUUGUCAUGCCAAUGGCAUUGCCCGGUAGCUACAUACGGAAAAGAUAAGUGCUGAAAGCAUCUAAACACGAAACUUACCCCAAGAUAAGUCUUCCCUGAAACUUUUUUAUAAAGUUUACUGAAGGGACGUUGAAGACUACGACGUUGAUAGGCUAGGUGUGUAAGCGUAGCAAUACGUUGAGCUAACUAGUACUAAUGACCCAAGAGGCUUAAUCUU